AUUAAUUUUGACGAAAAGCAUUCACUAGUUUGUAUAAGUUUUAUUGUUAGAAAUAAAACAGAUAUUUUAAAUCAAUUUUCUACCUGCAGACACCUGUAUACGCGUGACGCACUCUCGUGGCAAUCACGCACCCUCACAGACAUCACCCUGACACGCUCACUGCGCUAAACGAUUUACUGUACCAGUUGCUGUGCAAUCAUACAAUAUAUACAGGCUAUACCAUAUUCUCUACAAAAUUAGAUAUCUUUAAUAUUUAAAGUAAUCUUCAAAGGUCUGUGCCAGCGAUCAGAAAAAACAGCAAUCUUGAAAGACAGUACAACUGCCUGAAAAAUAUAUAUAUACGUUAUUUACCGGCUGCGAGGUCUGGAUGAGAAAACGUGUUUAUUUUUUAUCAGAUGUAAAAAUUAAAUUCAUUAAAAUUCCAGUGUUGCUUGCGAACUAAUUUGAGAUCAGUGCAGUUGUGUAUUUUCAAAGCGAGGCUGACAAAUAUUGAAAAUUUGAAAGAUAUAUUAAUAAAACGAAUACGAAAACUCGAGAAAGACACAAAAAGACGUAUAGUUUCAGUAAAAAUGUACAUGCUUUUUUCAUGAAUAUGGUAG